CUUACAAUCGAUCACUUUAAGCAAUUAUUCACUCACAAUCAAGAGCUUCCAAGAGAGAUUUCGAGUUUUAGCUUUCAUUGCUUUCAAAGAGAUCUCGUCAACAACCAUCAAUCUUCUUCUCUCUGAUCCUUCUGCUUGUUCCUAGAUUCACUGUACACAAUUAUUCUGUCAACAUCAAACUUGAUCUGUUAGAGUUGGAAGAAGCCAAAGCUUUCUACAUCAAUUGUCUUUUUCUUUUUUUGGUGUGAUCAGAAAUUUGUCAUAGAGGAUUAUUCUCUAAAGUUUCGAAAAGUUUUUAAUAUCAACCUGGAAAGCUUAUUUGGUUUUAACGAGUGAGUCUGGCAAACUCUUAGGUUAAAUUUACCUAUAAAGAUUUUAGGUUCUCAAAUCUACCUGAAAAGAUUUGAAGGUUCUAUAGAGUAUAGCAGCAUGUGUACUCUUUGUUGGAUCAUGUACGGAGGCUACAAGGGGGAUUAGUAGCCUUUUUCGAGGUUGAUGUAAAAUACCUAAAAAAAUACGUGUGAACAAUAGAUAUAUCCUCGCUUCAGUUAAACCCUUAUAACAAGGUCAAGAUCUUUCUAUAUGUUAAAUAUAAAAUGAUUGAAUUAACCUCAAGUGAGGAAUCUGCGUGAAAUAUAUAUAAUAUAACUUUUAUAGACUGAAAAAAG
rnacentral:lncRNA from 1 species